UCCGGCGUGGUGAAAUAGGCAUCACGGAGGGUUUUGGUCCCUCUAUUUCUGGUUCGAGCCCAGACGCCGGAG
rnacentral:tRNA from 1 species